rnacentral:miRNA from 1 species
UGUGGGCAAGGGUGUUUG